CACCCCCCAAACUUUAAAACCUAUUAUUGCUGUAUGGUAAAGUUAUUACAAUCAAAGCCCUCUGUAGUAAUAUCGAAAUCCAACAUGAAUAAUAGGUUUUAAAGUUUGGGGGGUGGGGAGAGGAGAAGAGAAGAGGAGGAAGGAGUUGUUCAAACUUGAGAUCUCUUAUAGUAAAUCUCAAGCUUUUACCACUGAAACGUGCCCUUCCAAACAUCAUGAAUAUCAUAUGCAUAGGAAGUUGCGUCAGAAUUUAUUCACAAUUUCAAUAUAUCAUGCAACAGCCACUAAAAUUUAUUGCCUCGUCAUAGACAGCAAGCCCCUCAGUUAUUCCAGCAAUCGCUUGUGCUUGCACCAGGCAAUAGCAAUUACAUAUAGGAACACGCUCCCAGUACAGCUGCCCCCAACAGUCCAUAAAAACUUUUGCAUCCCAACCUCCGUCUCUUCAUUGAACAACUCAAUGUUGAUAUUCAUGCCAAAAACACCAGCAACAACAACAAAACAGCUGAUCACUAGGGUUGCUGUUGUUAACAUGACCCCCAUUUGGAGGAGAUGAUUCUGUUUGUCGUCCAGCAUUAUAUUGAUGUAGUCCUCUGUAUCAUCAACGUACUCCCUCAAUGUUGAUAGUUUGUUCAGUGUACCAUCAAUUUGAACAAAGUAUGCCUCCAAUAGCAUUUCCAGCUCCUCUACAUCAAGGUGCUUGCUUAUAGCACUUCGAGUGGUACUGGUAUGGGUCCCAUGGCUGCCCCUGCUAAGCAUAUGAGGAGCACUAAACAGAUGAUCCUGUGGAUUGUCAGCAUUGUGAAUAUCACCUUCA
rnacentral:misc_RNA from 1 species